rnacentral:tRNA from 1 species
AUUUAAAUAGUUUAAUAAAAAUGCGAACUUGUGGCGUUUGAGAUGUAGAUACACUACUUUAAAUA